AUUAUGAAGCGGUGGCGCAGUAUUCUAGUCAGUUCUUUACGUUCCUAAGACGGGCCUAAAAAUCCGUAGACGGGCAUAUCGAUGAAGUCCCUGGUGUUUGCUUCUUACGCCCAGUUUGGGGUGGAUGCUGGGGGUUAAGGUUUCAGGGCGUCUUUCAAUGGCAUGAAAUCACGACCCUGUUACCGUGGAGACCUGUUGCUGUGGAGCACCUAUACAUCUUCAGAUUGAUGGAUGCUCUACGGGGCAGGAGAAGAACCUGCAAUGCGGUGCAAAGUACCUUUACGGUCCAACGACGCUGUGUGCAGUGUAGCCUGCCUUGAGUGGGCAUGGUGAAUCGGGUGUCCGCAGGUUGUUGUCACGGCCAUGGCAUAAUCUGUAUUGACCUGUGAAACCAUGUCUGCAAAAGAGGCUAAGAACGUGGGGAGCUGUCGCGGAAAACGCCUAGACUGUCGUAACUGGGCAGGCAGAGGAUUGCAGUACGGACUAAGUGGCAAUUCGGUCCCGGAAUCGGUGACGACCCGGCACAGACCAUAAUGGGAAACCGCCAGCUGGCAACGGCUGGUCGCCUGCGGGGAAAUCCAACCGAACCUCAAGCCGUAAGAUUUACUCUGUCUGCUGCCACCCUUGAUGA
rnacentral:sRNA from 1 species